GGCUCUGAGGUGUGUACACAUCGCCCCGUCGCUCUCGUUAUUGAUUAUUCCAUCUCAUUACUUUAAUUUAGCUUCGGUUUAGAGGAGAUAAGUCGUACCAUAGUAGAUGUACUGGAAAGUGUAUCUGCGAAGAGUUUCC
rnacentral:rRNA from 1 species